AACGAACGCUGGCGGCAGGCUUAACACAUGCAAGUCGAGCGCCCCGCAAGGGGAGCGGCCGACGGGUGAGUAACGCGUGGGAACGUACCCUUAUCUUCGGGACAGCCCCGGGAAACUGGAAUUAAUACCGAAUGUGCCCUUUGGGGGAAAGAUUUAUCGGAUAAGGAUCGGCCCGCGUUGGAUUAGCUAGUUGGUGGGGUAAAGGCCUACCAAGGCGACGAUCCAUAGCUGGUCUGAGAGGAUGAUCAGCCACAUUGGGACUGAGACACGGCCCAAACUCCUACGGGAGGCAGCAGUGGGGAAUAUUGGACAAUGGGCGCAAGCCUGAUCCAGCCAUGCCGCGUGAGUGAUGAAGGCCUUGGGGUUGUAAAGCUCUUUCACCGGAGAAGAUAAUGACGGUAUCCGGAGAAGAAGCCCCGGCUAACUUCGUG
rnacentral:rRNA from 1 species